rnacentral:rRNA from 1 species
GAUGAACGCUAGCUACAGGCCUAACACAUGCAAGUCGAGGGACCGGCGCACGGGUGAGUAACACGUAUCCAACCUGCCCUUUACUCGGGGAUAGCCUUUCGAAAGAAAGAUUAAUACCCGAUAUAAAGGAUGGGGAUGCGUUCCAUUAGGUUGUUGGUGAGGCAACGGCACCCCAAGCAUUCGAUGGAUAGGGGUUCUGUGAGGAAGGUGCCCCACAUUGGAACGGGGUCACGGUCCAAACGCGUGCGGGAGGUAGCGGUGAGGGAUCUUGGUCAGUGGGCGCUAGCCUGAACCGGCGAAGUAGCGUGAAGGAUGAAGGCUUGUGGGUCGUAAACUUCUUGUAUAUAGGAAUAUGUAUUAUAUGAAUAAGGAUCGGCUAACUCCGGGCAAGCAGCCGCGUAAUAC